ACACAUGCAAGUCGAGGGGAAACGAUGGGAGGGCUUGCCCUCCCAGGCGUCGACCGGCGCACGGGUGAGUAACACGUAUCCAACCUGCCCUCUUCCGGGGAACAACCUUGCGAAAGUAAGACUAAUGCCCCAUGUGUCCUCAGACGGCAUCAGACGAGGACGAAAGAUUUAUCGGAAGUGGAUGGGGAUGCGCCUGAUUAGGCAGUUGGCGGGGCAACGGCCCACCAAGCCGACGAUCAGUAGGGGUUCUGAGAGGAAGGUCCCCCACAUUGGAACUGAGACACGGUCCAAACUCCUACGGGAGGCAGCAGUGAGGAAUAUUGGUCAAUGGGCGAGAGCCUGAACCAGCCAAGUAGCGUGCAGGACGACGGCCCUAUGGGUUGUAAACUGCUUUUGCGCGGGGAUAAAGUGCGCCACGUGUGGCUCAUUGCAGGUACCGCGCGAAUAAGGACCGGCUAAUUCCGUGCCAGCAGCCGCGGUAAUACGGAAGGUCCAGGCGCUAUCCGGAUUCAUUGGGUUUAAAGGGAGCGCGGGCCGCCCCUUAAGCGUGUUGUGAAAUGCCGCGGCUCAACCGUGGCACUGCAGCGCGAACUGGGGGGCUUGAGUGCGCGCA
rnacentral:rRNA from 1 species